UAUGUGAUCGUCUCUCGCAUAUCAAUAAGCGGAGGAAAAGAAACUAACAAGGAUUCCCCUAGUAACGGCGAGUGAAGCGGGAAGAGCUCAAAUUUGAAAUCUUAAAGGGUUUCCCUUUACGAAUUGUAGUUUAAAGAAGUGUUUUCUGUUGAGGUUUUGGUAAAAGUUCUUUGGAAUAGGACAUCAUAGAGGGUGAGAAUCCCGUAUUUGACCUUUACUUUCAACUUUGUGAUACACUUUCAAAGAGUCGGAUUGUUUGGGAAUGCAGUCCAAAAUGGGUGGUAAAUUUCAUCUAAAGCUAAAUAUUGGCGAGAGACCGAUAGCGAACAAGUACCGUGAGGGAAAGAUGAAAAGAACUUUGAAAAGAGAGUUAAACAGUACGUGAAAUUGUCAAAAGGGAAGCGUUUGACACCAGUGUUGUUUUUCUGAAAAUCAAUUAAAGAACUGUUUAUGCUAAGUUGUUUAGACUUUAUCAGCUAAUCUGUUUAGUUUUGAGCUUUUCUUUAAUGCACUUUUCAGUUAACAAGUCAACAUCAAUUUCUCUUGCUGUAAAAAAGCUUGAGGAAGGUGGCUUGAGAUUCGUCUUAAGUGUUUAUAGCCUCUUGCCUAUGCAGUCGGAGAGAUUGAGGUCUGCAGCGUAGAUCCCUCGGGGCUAAAUGCAUUUGUGCUAAGUUAUAGCAUUUUAUAGACAACUUGUUGACUAUGAUUUGUCUUGUAGCUUACUCGCUUAUGUUAUUUUACCUACGCUUAGGAUGUUGAAGAUGUAGCACAUCAU
rnacentral:rRNA from 1 species